GACGAACGCUGGCGGCAGGCCUAACACACGCAAGUCGAACGGUAACAGGAAGAAGCUUGCUUCUUUGCUGACGAGUGGCGGACGGGUGAGUAAUGUCUGGGAAACUGCCUGAUGGAGGGGGAUAACUACUGGAAACGGUAGCUAAUACCGCAUAACGUCGCAAGACCAAAGAGGGGGACCUUCGGGCCUCUUGCCAUCGGAUGUGCCCAGAUGGGAUUAGCUAGUAGGUGGGGUAACGGCUCACCUAGGCGACGAUCCCUAGCUGGUCUGAGAGGAUGACCAGCCACACUGGAACUGAGACACGGUCCAGACUCCUACGGGAGGCAGCAGUGGGGAAUAUUGCACAAUGGGCGCAAGCCUGAUGCAGCCAUGCCGCGUGUAUGAAGAAGGCCUUCGGGUUGUAAAGUACUUUCAGCGGGGAGGAAGGGAGUAAAGUUAAUACCUUUGCUCAUUGACGUUACCCGCAGAAGAAGCACCGGCUAACUCCGUGCCAGCAGCCGCGGUAAUACGGAGGGUGCAAGCGUUAAUCGGAAUUACUGGGCGUAAAGCGCACGCAGGCGGUUUGUUAAGUCAGAUGUGAAAUCCCCGGGCUCAACCUGGGAACUGCAUCUGAUACUGGCAAGCUUGAGUCUCGUAGAGGGGGGUAGAAUUCCAGGUGUAGCGGUGAAAUGCGUAGAGAUCUGGAGGAAUACCGGUGGCGAAGGCGGCCCCCUGGACGAAGACUGACGCUCAGGUGCGAAAGCGUGGGGAGCAAACAGGAUUAGAUACCCUGGUAGUCCACGCCGUAAACGAUGUCGACUUGGAGGUUGUGCCCUUGAGGCGUGGCUUCCGGAGCUAACGCGUUAAGUCGACCGCCUGGGGAGUACGGCCGCAAGGUUAAAACUCAAAUGAAUUGACGGGGGCCCGCACAAGCGGCGGAGCAUGCGGAUUAAUUCGAUGCAACGCGAAGAACCUUACCAAGGCUUGACAUGCACGGCGGCACUGCAGAGAUGUGGUGGCAUUUAGUUGGUCGUGUGCAGGUGGUGCAUGGUUGUCGUCAGCUCGUGUCGUGAGAUGUUGGGUUAAGUCCCGCAACGAGCGCAACCCUUGCCCUAUGUUGCCAGCACGUGAUGGUGGGGACUCGUGGGGGACUGCCGGGGUUAACUCGGAGGAAGGUGGGGAAGACGUCAAAUCAUCAUGCCCCUUAUGUCUUGGGCUUCACGCAUGCUACAAUGGCUGGUACAGAGGGUUGCGAUACUGUGAGGUGGAGCGAAUCCCUUAAAGCCAGUCUCAGUUCGGAUUGGGGUCUGCAACUCGACCUCAUGAAGUCGGAGUCGCUAGUAAUCGCAGAUCAGCAACGCUGCGGUGAAUACGUUCCCGGGGCU
rnacentral:rRNA from 1 species